UGACUCCUGGGGCACCCCUCUGGGACCUGGCAGGGGGGCCUCUGCCGAGGUUGUGGGUGCCUGCUGUUUCCUCAUUGGGACAGGCCUCUUGCUCUUCCAUGGGGCUGGCGGGAGCCCAGGUCCGGGUCCAGCUGUGGCUUCUGGGCAUCAGCCAAGCCAGGAACGUCCAGGCCCCCUAGGUCCGGGCUGCCCCGGGCACCGCCGUUCCUCCUGCUCGUCCGGUGCAACCUCUCCCCAGACAUUUCUCGCACAGCCCUGCCUCGGGCUUUGAUCCUAAAGAGGACACGUCGCCUCCCCCACUGGGUGGAUCCCUGCCUGCAGAACAGGCGCUGCCGGCUUACCUGUGCUGCAAACCUCCUUCUUCUACCCGCACCGUGAACUCUACUUCAUGAGAAAUCCCUUUGUUCUUCACAGUUUCUCAAGGCGAGGGGCCAGGUCCGGUCACACCUGUCAUCUUUGUCACAUGAGCUCCGGGGGCGAAGGUGGUGUCCACUGGGGCAAAUCCAGCAGCCAGGGCUGCGCGGCUUGCCUGGCAGGUGGAGGGCUGCCACUGGCUGUGUCCGUGCCGAGGCCCUUCCUGAAGCAGAACGUGAGGGCGGAUGUGCCUUGGCUGAGAACGGGGAGCUGGCUGACGGCCCCAGGGAUGACCCUAUUUCUGGGGCUUAGGAUCCUGGGGCUGAGCCAUCUGCAGGCUCAGAUUGGCCCCACUCUCUGUGGGGCCUCUGCUGUCCCCUUGGGCUUGGGCUGGAGGACCCCAACAGACCGAGAGGGAUGGCCCAGGCAGGGUGGGCCGGGACUCCCUAUGCAUCAGACAACUGGCUCCGGAACAUUCUGGCCCAGAGAGGUGCUGCUGGAUGAGCCUCUGCACGGUCGUAUGUGAUUAUACUCUUGCUCCGAGUCACCGUAAUGCUCUAUUCCAUAAACAAGGCCACGAAACAGUUACAGUGACGAUAACCCUGCUUGUCUGGCACAUGGAGGAGGACAGAUAAAUUUCUCCAUUUGGAAUUUUGUAGCUUAAAUACCACCGUCUUUAUUUCUCUGGCCGCCUAACUUUUGUAGCAAUAACACUGUUCCCUUAGAGAUGGUCCAUAAACCACCCUCCUGCUUCCCGUGCCAGGGCACAAUUCCCAGUACAGAACGCUGAGACCCCAGAUCGGUGGAGGAGGGGCUAUUUUAUGACCAGUUGGAAAAUGCUGCUGCUUUUAUAAAUUAAGUGAGCUCGCCCCCAUAUUGGGUAUUGAUACACUCUGCAUGGCAGACACAUUCCUCUGAGGCUCAUUGUGCACGGCAGGUGGACAGGUGCCAUGUCUGUGGACCACUGUGGAAGGAUUGGCGGAGGGGGGAGCCAGGGCUGAGGGCAGCGUUGGGCUUGGAGCCCAAAGAAGGCCGGAAUGGGGCAGAAGUGGGACCUCUGGCUGGGUAGGAGUGCCGCCUUUGCAAAGGCUGGUGUUGCUGGGCACCUGGCUUAGAGAGGGGGCCGUGUUCCUCGGCUGGGGUGCCCUGUGCACCCAGAUCACUAUGCCAGCCUCACCCCACAGCCCAUCCUGGGCCAGGGUGGCUCUGAGACCCUGAGACUGUUUGCAGUCUACUUCUGAGCUGCUUGGUUGCUUUUCUGGUUGACUUUCAACGUGCUUGAAAUUUCACUUUUCCUGGACGUCUGACAUCCUAACCAGCCUAUCCCUGAGGUAGAAGCACACGCUUGUCGGAAGCAGGGAGCUGCCUUCCUAAGGAAUCUAGGCGGUGGUGAAUCCUUUUGGGAAAAUGAAUAUUUCCAAGGGCACGUGACUGGCCAGUGGCCACGUAGGGCGUCAACCCAGGAGAGCGGCUUCCAGAUGGUGGUGAAUCCCCCACGGCCAGCCUGGGACCGGUUGUCCACAUAAUUCACCCAAUUCUGAGUAAAGCAGCCUCCUGGGCUGCAGAGAGGCUGGGCUGUGCCUUCUCUCCCUCCCUCCCAAGGCAACUUCAGGUGAAAGACUGACAGGUUGAGGAGCGUUUUGAAAGUGGUGAAGACUUUACCCACGUAACGUGUUGCUUCUGGAAAAUUCUUAAAGCAGGUACAUUUGUCCAGCAGGUACAAAUGUCCAUUUGUGCAUUUGUCGGUUCUUCCGGGCAAAAUCGAACUCGGUAAACUGUGCCAAAAUUACGCUACUGGACAAACGAAUGGACGGGGUUGGAUUCUUGACGUAAGCUGGUGGCAAGCGCAUAUGAGUAACCUGAACCACCGUGGACAUGAGCUUCUUCAGAGCCCUCCCCUGUGCCAUACCUGAAAGGUCUGGUCGUGUGCCCCAUUGGUUAGAGUCGCAGGCACGUAAGAGGUGAUUUACCAUCUCUUGGUGAUUGGUGAUGCCACUUGCUUUCCCAAUGACUGAUCACCAGUUUUAGCUUAGAAGGGGCUGUUCUGGGCAGCCCGGGUGGCUCAGUGGUUUAGCGCAGCCUUUGGCCCAGGACCUGAUCCUGGAGACCCAGGAUCGAGUCCCACAUCGGGCUUCCUGCAUGGAGCCUGCUUCUCCCUCUGCCUGUGUCUCUGCCUCUCUCUCUCUCUCUCUCUCUCUCUGUGUGUGUCAUGAAUAAAUAAAUAAAUAAUGAAUAAAUAAAUAAAAUU
rnacentral:lncRNA from 1 species